AUCGCUUCUCAGCCUUUUGGCUAAGAUCAAGUGUCUAAAAUAUAUGUUCUCUUUUUCUAACCAUAAAGCCCUAUAAGAACUUUCUUCUUAUGCUCAGAGAAAGUAUAUAACCCGAUUUUUAAUAAGCUAUGACUUCUGUUUGCCUGUAAAUUCUAUCCUAACUUACGGAGACGGACCACCUACA
rnacentral:snRNA from 1 species